CUGAAACAUCUUACUUUUCCUCUUCAUACGCAAAAUGCCUUUCUCAUAUACCCAUUCAAAUCUCAUCUCAUUCUUCAAAUCAACAUCACACGUAGCAGUUAAUAUUCCCAAGUUCCAAUUCAUCAUUCAUGGAGCAGCCAUCAUCAUUCAUCGAUUUUCCUUCAAAUUUAUUUUUUUCUCAUGAUUUGGAUCUUCUUCCCAGGGUGGUGUUAAAGGGAAGUUUGAUGAGGCGUUGAAGUAGGUGCAUGAAAUAGAGAAACAAGGACUGAUAUAUGAUCAGUAGACACAAUCUUGAUAUGCUGGCAAUCUAUGAUUCAGAUUUUUAUAAGUGCGUGAGAUAGAGAAAUGGGUUCGGAUAAGCUUGCCAGCAUCUAAGAAGGAAUUAAGUGAUACACAAUCCUGAUGUGGUGAACAUUAACAGGCCUGCAUUGGAUCAAGCUGUUGUAGUGUUGACACAUAUACGAAAAAACUUCUUCAAGAGGUAGGCUCAUAUGUUGGUGAAGUUGUCAAAGUUAUCGGCAAAAUUAAAGCAUUGGUCAACGUCAGCUAAUUUUCUGUUCUAAUUUGGAUCAGAACAAUUUACCUCACACUUCGCUGCUAUAUAUCAAUCUAUCUUUAUAAUCUGCUGAAUGUGGUGAACAUUAACAAGCAUGCAUUGGAUCAAGCAGUUAUAAUGUUGACGCAUAUACGAAAAGGUGAUUUGUUCAACCCGUGUGUAUAAUGACGUUUGAUGUUGAAUCUCUCUUCAAGAAUGCAACAGAUAUUCUUUCGAGUUCAACCAAUUGAAUAUCAUUCAAGUCUGGGAACAAUUAGACAACAUCUAAUUAUGUUCAACUAGCUUCUACAAUUAUUUGGGUUCAUAUCAUUUACCUCAAACUACUGUAGGAUGACGGAUUAGAUGCAAAGGCUAAUAAUGAUAAGGCUUAUUGGAUAUGAGAAUUGUCUAUGGCAGGGAUACAUAGUCCUUAAUAGGCCAUGAGAAUUGUAUAUGAGUGCAUGUCAUUUAGUUUCUAAUGUUAUUUAUGAAUAUUCUUGAUUUUAGGAAUUUUUUUAAUUUGAUUUGAAAAUAUAAUAGGAAUCCCUUAAGAAGAUUGCUUCUACUUUGAUGAAUGUUUCUCCCGACAAUAAAAACAAGUUCCUGAAACUGAUACAACUUUUGGAUGGGUUCUUAAAAUAACAUUGCAAAGGAUAGUGACAUCCGAGAAAACUUCAAAAGGCAAUGUCAAAUAUAAGAUGUAUACUUCUAAUGAUUCAGGAAUACUUCAAAGGUGGACUUUGCAAUGUCUGGUAGCUGCAAAUUUGCUUCAGUGUAUAUUUUUUUAGCAUCUGCAGAUUUAGUUACUUAUUGUGAAACGAUAAAGCUAGCUUAUAUAUGAAAUGAAAUUGAACUACUUUUUAUUUCAAUUAGCGGCAGUGAAGAUAUGAUAAAGUAUUGUAUUUAAAUAGAAUAAGUUAAACGGUUUG